rnacentral:rRNA from 1 species
UGCCAGCAGCCGCGGUAAUACGGAGGGGGCAAGCGUUGUUCGGAAUUACUGGGCGUAAAGCGUACGUAGGCGGAUUAUUAAGUGAGGGGUGAAAUCCCAGGGCUCAACCCUGGAACUGCCUCUCAUACUGGUAGUCUCGAGUACGGGAGAGGUGAGUGGAAUUCCUAGUGUAGAGGUGAAAUUCGUAGAUGUUAGGAAGAACACCAGUGGCGAAGGCGGCUCACUGGCCCGUUACUGACGCUGAGGUGCGAAAGCGUGGGGAGCAAACAGGAUUAGAUA